rnacentral:lncRNA from 1 species
GGUGGAUGUGGAGGUGCUGUCCGGUGCUCUAGAAAUGUCCAGAGCGGUGCUGCUGCAGGACCCCUGUCAGCUGGCCUCCCAGCUUAUGGGUCGACUGGGGCAGAUGGUUAGUGAGGACCGCCCUAUUGCUAAAGGUGACUCGCUGAGGUUCAGCUACCUCCAUGCUCUACUGUCUCAGUGUACCCAGUCCUCCCUGCCUGUGUUGCUGCCGUCCUCCACCUACUUGCUGCCCCCAGGAGACCUCCAACACACCCUGCUGGCAGGUCACUUGACUAAUGUAACUGCCCUGGGAGGGGGGCAGAGAGGACCCUUGUGUGUCAUCAGUGAAUCACAUGGAAGCCUGAGGUUCUGGGAUUUGGAGCAGAGGCAGAUCACAAGGAGCCUGGAUGCGGCACAGGGAAUUGUGGGAGAUUCAGUCACCCUAGGUCUGGAUGAUAGGAUGCUUAUAGUCUGCAUGGGACAACGUCUGCAGGUGAGAGAGGUUGAAUCGGGGCGAGUCGUGUACUCUGAGAGCGACUCAGUGGAUGUUCCCAUAGUCACCACCACUUGUGAAGGACGGCUGCUGGUGGUCUUCUAUGACGGAAGUCAUCUAGUCAAGGUUUUUGACUUGGCCUCCUCCUGCUCUCUGCUGCACUGUGCUAACAUUUCCCUGGAGCGGGACGCACUCCACAAAGACCGCUCCAUUCUGCUGUCCAACAAUUCCACUCUAGACUACGUCCUCUUUGCCUACAGGUCUGGUGGUGAGGCAGCAGUAUUCAGUGCCAGAGGGGGCGCUGUGCUGUCCGUCCUAUCUGCUCAGCAUGAUGCUGCCUCUAUACAAGCUGUGGAAAUGACUGAAGACUACCUGCUGCUCUUCUGCAGAUACCCAUACAAGUGUGGCAGUGAAAUCAUCCACAUCCAACUCUUCAGCACUGUGUCAUUCCUCUACUUGCGGACUAUACUGGGCUGCAGCCAGGACCGUAUUUCUCAGAUCACCGUGAACCGGGCAGGGACGCACGUCGUGGCCUUUUGCCCCUCCCCCCUUACCGGCAUCACUGAGCUGGUCACCUGGAA